AGGCUCCCGGGGCGCCGCCCACCAGCCCGACCCGGCGGCCUAGAAAUCCCCAUUCUGCUCCCGCCUCGCCCCGGCCGGCCAGCGCAGGGCCCCUCAGGCCCGCAAUCUCCAGGCUCAAACGGCGAACAGGUCCCCGCAUCCGCCUGCCUUUGCACUUGGGGGUGGGAGAGCCACCUUGUGACGCCCCUUCUGCCUCUCACCAGCUUCCCCCUUUCUCCCCGUCCUGUACGGUUCCCCCUGGAGCCAGAAGGAAGCCCGGUGCCAGCCAGCCUUCCUGAAAGACCAAGCCCGCGCCAUCCGGCUUCCUCCAGUGGACGCCUGCAGGACCCAGGAAUGUUUUUCUUGAAGGCAUCCAGCAUCUCCAGUUAGCAGUACUGAUUUUUUUUCCCCCCAACAAAGGAACACUACAUCAACACUGUUGGCGGGGACCUGGACACAGAAGACUCCUGUUUCAAGAAAAUACAAUCAUCUCUCAAAGGCUGUAAUUUAUAUGCAUUUUAAAACUCUAGGCAUUGAAAACCACCCAAGUGUCCCAAAUAGAAGGGUAAUAUAUAAUCAAUCACUCAGUGUAAUAUUAUACAUCCUUUAAAAAUGUUAUUGGGAAAUGUUUUAUGAUCUGUAAGUCCAAGGAAUCCUCUCCCACCAUUUCUUUCCCCCCGCUGUUCCCCCAUACCCACACUUCUUUGUUCCAAUUGGCAUGUAAAUUUGGUUUUCCCGCCAAAUGAGUCAGUCAUGAUGGGAACCUCAACUGAUUUGAACAGAUGUGUGUCAAUGUUACUUGGAAAACUAGAUGUCAAUAACCAGGGUCACAGAAAAAGGCAGUGGUCACAACUCUGUAAAAAUGUAUGCAUGCACACAGACAAGAACUAAAGUGGAACCCCACACAGGAAAACAGUGGGCUGUACUCCAGUGCUGGGACAUUGAAUGACUGUAUGCUGCUUUUGAUUUCCGUUAAUAUGGGCAACUGUCCAAUUAAAAAAAAAACUCCUAA
rnacentral:lncRNA from 1 species